GAUUGACAUCAAAUGUGAAGAAGAAGAUUGUUUUUAACUUAUUUUUUUGUUGCAAUCUAUAAUCAAUCUCAGAUUAUUAAUACCUUAAUUUGAUAAUAAAGUCACAAGUUAUUACACGAGCU